rnacentral:tRNA from 1 species
UCAUAGCUCAGUUGGAUAGAGUGUUUGGCUACGAACCAAAAGGUCGCAGGUUCGAAUCCUGCUGG